rnacentral:rRNA from 1 species
GACGAACGCUGGCGGCGUGCCUAACACAUGCAAGUCGAGCGGAAUCUCCGGAGUGCUUGCACUCCGGAAGGUUAGCGGCGGACGGGUGAGUAACACGUAGGCAACCUGCCCAUAAGACCGGGAUAACAAUCGGAAAAGAAUGCUAAAACCGGAUAGACGGACUUCUCGCAUGAGGGGCUCGGGAAAGGCGGAGCAAUCUGCCGCUUAUGGAUGGGCCUGCGGCGCAUUAGCUAGUUGGUGGGGUAACGGCAUAACAAGGCGACGAUGGUUAGGCGACCUGAGAGGGACAACGGCCAGCUUGUGACUGAGACGCAGCACAGACUCCUACAGGAGGCAGCAGUCGGGAAUCUUCCGCGAUGGAGGCAUGUCUGACAUAGCAACGCCGCGGGAAGGAUGAAGGCGUUCGGGUGGUAAAGCGCUGUUGCCAGGGAAGAACGGGCGGGCAUGUAACUGCGCUGGCCAUGACGGUACCUGGAGAAUAAGCCCCGGCUAACUACGUG